UGGGAAAAAAAAGGAGAGGAUCAGACGCAUU
rnacentral:piRNA from 1 species